UGUGGUGUAAUGGUAUUAGUGCUAGACUUUUACUCUGGAGACCAGGGUUCAAAUCCCUGUUCAG